AUUGAACGCUGGCGGCAUGCCUUACACAUGCAAGUCGAACGGUAACAGGUCUUCGGAUGCUGACGAGUGGCGAACGGGUGAGUAAUACAUCGGAACGUGCCUAGUAGUGGGGGAUAACUACUCGAAAGAGUGGCUAAUACCGCAUGAGAUCUACGGAUGAAAGCAGGGGAUCGCAAGACCUUGUGCUACUAGAGCGGCCGAUGGCAGAUUAGGUAGUUGGUGGGAUAAAAGCUUACCAAGCCGACGAUCUGUAGCUGGUCUGAGAGGACGAUCAGCCACACUGGGACUGAGACAAGGCCCAGACUCCUACGGGAGGCAGCAGUGGGGAAUUUUGGACAAUGGGCGCAAGCCUGAUCCAGCCAUGCCGCGUGUCUGAAGAAGGCCUUCGGGUUGUAAAGGACUUUUGUCCGGGAGCAAAUGCCUGGUGUUAAUACCUGGGGUCCAUGACGGUACCGUAAGAAUAAGCACCGGCUAACUACGUGCCAGCCGCCGCAGUAAGAC
rnacentral:rRNA from 1 species